ACGAUGUCAACUAGCCGUUGGAAGCCUUGAGCUUUUAGUGGCGCAGCUAACGCAUUAAGUUGACGCCUGGGGAGUACGGCCGCAAGGUUAAAACUCAAAUGAAUUGACGGGGGCCCGCACAAGCGGUGGAGCAUGUGGUUUAAUUCGAAGCAACGCGAAGAACCUUACCAGGCCUUGACAUCCAAUGAACUUUCCAGAGAUGCUGGUGCCUUCGGGAACAUUGAGACAGGUGCUGCAUGGCUGUCGUCAG
rnacentral:rRNA from 1 species